AUGAUCAUACCAUGCUGAAUAUACCAGUUCUCGUUUGAUCACCGAAAUCCAAGCAUCAUCGGGCGCGGUCAGUACUUAGGAGGAUGACCACCUAGGCACAACGCGUACCGUU